rnacentral:rRNA from 1 species
AUGGGCGCAAGCCUGAUCCAGCCAAUACCGCGUGGGUGAAGAAGGCCUUCGGGUUGUAAAGCCCUUUUGUUGGGAAAGAAAAGCAGCCGGCUAAUACCCGGUUGUUCUGACGGUACCCAAAGAAUAAGCACCGGCUAACUUCGUGCCAGCAGCCGCGGUAAUACGAAGGGUGCAAGCGUUACUCGGAAUUACUGGGCGUAAAGCGUGCGUAGGUGGUUGUUUAAGUCUGUUGUGAAAGCCCUGGGCUCAACCUGGGAAUUGCAGUGGAUACUGGGCGACUAGAGUGUGGUAGAGGGUAGUGGAAUUCCCGGUGUAGCAGUGAAAUGCGUAGAGAUCGGGAGGAACAUCCAUGGCGAAGGCAGCUACCUGGACCAACACUGACACUGAGGCACGAAAGCGUGGGGAGCAAACAGGAUUAGAUACCCUGGUAGUCCACGCCCUAAACGAUGCGAACUGGAUGUUGGGUGCAAUUUGGCACGCAGUAUCGAAGCUAACGCGUUAAGUUCGCCGC